rnacentral:rRNA from 1 species
UCGGGAAUUUUGGGCAAGGGGCGAAAGCCUGACCCAGCAACGCCGCGUGAGGGAUGAAGUAUUUCGGUAUGUAAACCUCGAAAGCAUGGGAAGAAUAAAUGACGGUACCAUUUAUAAGCUCCGGCUAACUACGUGCCAGCAGCCGCGGUAAUACGUAGGGAGCAAGCGUUGUUCGGAUUUACUGGGCGUAAAGGGUGCGUAGGCGGCGCUCUAAGUUUGGUGUGAAAUCUCCCGGCUUAACUGGGAGGGUGCACUGAAAACUGGGGCGCGCGAGUAUGGGAGAGGACAGCGGAAUUCCCGGUGUAGCGGUGAAAUGCGUAGAGAUCAGGAGGAACACCUGCGGUGCAGACGGCUUUCUGGACCAUCACUGACGCCGAGGC